AGCACCGAGUUGCUGGAGGCCUCAAGAGUCAUUGGAGGUGAGUAUUAGUUGUGAUUUGGCAGGAAAUUUGCUUCGGACGCUGGAUGCGCGCCACUUGCCAUAUGUAUGUCCGGAAAGCGUUGCAGGUAAUUUAUUGGUGGUAAGAAUAUGACGCGCCGCUGUCAUUUGUUGGUUUUCUCUUCCACCCUCAGUGGUAGAUGUUUGCGAUUAUUUAUUUAGCUUGUUAAAUUGCAGGUCAGCUUCGGCGGUCGUCGGGAAGAGGAUGCCUGAAGAAAGGUCCGGAACAGCGGUCGUCACGUAGUUUUGGAGCUGCUGCCAUUAUUGUGGUGUGAUCUGUCUCAUUAUGGCAGAGGAGUCGACAGUGAUGAUUGUGGCUUGGUCGUUCAUCUAGGGUGGCUAGGUGCGCCGCGUUUUGUGGCCAUUUCGUCAGGGUUUGCAGCUUGGAGCCUCCGGAACGUGAUUAGUUGCCGAGGGCCGUCGCAACGAUUGGGGCCAUGGAAAUGGAAGUAAAAUUAGAGAUUGGGUACGUUUAGUGGGAGGUACAUUAGGUGGAAGCUAGUCUGGUGGUAAGUGUUAUAAUUGUUUUUAAGGUUGCAUUAAUAUUUUGUUUUUCAGCUGCGUUUUGUAACUAAUUGGGAGGCCCUUUGUUUUUGGAACAUGGCAGCGGAAAAGCCGCGGGUUUAGGGUCGUCGAGUUGGCAAUUAGAUAAGUGUUUUGUUAAAGUAAUUAAUUCCCAGUUUUAGCUUGUGCUUCCUCGUUUCAGAAUUUACAAUCUUGGAAAGAGCAGUUGCAUGCUUAUCGUCAGCAAGAUGGAGCCGCCUGUUGUCGCCUAUUGUCGCCUGGUUAUUUGCCUGUCCGGUUUGCUUUGUCCUUAAUUAAUUAUAUUUUGUAUCAUAUUCUUAUUAAAAUUUUUCCUUUCGUUGUAGGUUAGCGGAAAAUCCGUGGGAGAUGCGAUACUGAGGAAAGGAAUUUUGUGUUUUUCUUUUCAGGUACAUUUGGUGGGAGGUACAUUUGGUGGAAGCUAAUCUGGUGGUGAGUAUUUUAAU